rnacentral:rRNA from 1 species
CUGCAGCCCGAGUGGUGAUCAAUUUUAUUGAGCCUAAAGCGUCCGUAGCCGGACUAGUAAACCCUUGGGUAAAUUGGGCAGCUUAACUGUCCAAAUUCCGAGGGGACUGCUAGUCUUGGGACCGGGAGAGGUCAGAGGUACUCAAGGGGUAGGGGCUAAAUCCUGUAAUCCUUUGGGGACCACCAGUGGCGAAGGCGUCUGACUAGAACGGAUCCGACGGUAAGGGACGAAACCCUGGGGCGCGAACCGGAUUAGAUACCCGAGUAGUCC